UUAUAGUUGGAAAUAGUGGAAACAUGGAUUUAUUUAAGCAAUUUUGGAGAUAUCUUGUUUUAAAUGUUAGGGAGCAUAUUAUGGAAUUUUCAAAGAAAACAUUUAUCUAAGUGUGACAAGAUUCAGGAAAUGUUUGGUUGUUGUAAUUGAACCUAAAGAUCAAUGACCUGAGACAGGAAGAUAAACAAAAGAAACAUAAUAGUAAAAAGGUUCAGAGUCAGCUUGAAAGCAAGUUUGCAGGUGUUCCAAACUACAAGAAGAUGGCAAUCCAGUCUCUUAUCAUAGCUAGUAUAAAGCAGAGGAAUAUACUGAAAAGUCAUUGGCAUUGGCACAAAGGAAGCCAACUGUAGACCAGGAAAGGCUUCAAGGAAUAUACUACAGAAUUGUAUCCAAGCAUUUUCCACAUGUGACCCCUGUGACGGUGAGGGAAAAACUUGGGGACACUUUAAAAUCAUGAAGAGUGAACAGGACUUCAAUAGAUUAAUAUUUGAAUAUAUAUAAAUUUGCCGGGUACCAAAAAAAUUAUAACUGAACAUUGAGUGUAAUAUUUACCAUUAAAGACUACUAACUUAAAUUUUCAUUUGUAGUGCAUUACUAUUUACUUCACUCUGACAUUAAAUGUUUCAGUGAGUCAUGUGAUCAUUAUUUGCUCUGUAGUAUUAUUAUAAAGAAAUUUAUUAAUUCUUUAAAAGGACAAUAUAAUUGCUCUUUUCAGAAUAUUUCAUUGGUUGUUAUAUUUUUGAUUUUCCAUGGAUAUUCUAGAAAUUUCCAAGGUUUUUGCUCAAGUAAACCUUGGAAAAUGAUCUUGAUGCUUUAGUAAGAAUCCUCAGGGAAAUAAUUACAGUAUUCCAGGUUUUGAGAAACUUUCCGAGGUUUUCAUUUAAAAACCUUGGAAAACAAACCACGGAAACACUUUAAAAAUCCUUGGAAAUUGUUCCAAUACUCCGAGGUCACUCAUUUUACAAGGUUUUCUAAAAAAAUCCUCGGAAAUUAUUUUACGAGGUUUUUAUUCUGAAAUCCUUGGAAAU